rnacentral:rRNA from 1 species
CCUACGGGAGGCAGCAGUGAGGAAUAUUGGUCAAUGGGCGCGAGCCUGAACCAGCCAAGUCGCGUGAGGGAUUAAGGCCCUGCGGGUCGUAAACCUCUUUUGCCGGGGAGCAGUGGUCCGGACGUGUCCGGGCCGGGAGAGUACCCGGAGAAAAAGCAUCGGCUAACUCCGUGCCAGCAGCCGCGGUAAUACGGAGGAUGCGAGCGUUAUCCGGAUUUAUUGGGUUUAAAGGGUGCGUAGGCGGGCAUUUAAGCCGGCGGUCAAAUGUCGGGGCUUAACCCCGGCCUGCCGUCGGAACUGGGUGCCUUGAGUGGGCGAGAAGUAUGCGGAAUGCGUGGUGUAGCGGUGAAAUGCAUAGAUAUCACGCAGAACCCCGAUUGCGAAGGCAGCAUACCGGCGCCCUACUGACGCUGAGGCACGAAAGUGCGGGUAUCGAACAGGAUUAGAUACCCCGGUAGUC